AUGCCUUGAAAAUCAGGAUACCUCCUGCUGAUAUCACUGGCAGAAGAAGAACGCCACACUUGUAGGCAGUAUGCUUAUUUAAUGUCUGUAAAUAAUCCCAUCAGGUUCUCAAAUGAUUCCAAUGCUCUAUAAAAGCUGUCUGCAGAAAAAUGAUAUGAUGUUAACAUAGUAGACCAUAAACAUUUACAUUUUAUGUCUUAAUGAUUUUGGC